rnacentral:misc_RNA from 1 species
AGCUGUGAAUUUUGUUCUCUGUCAGUGUCACGUCAUUUGAUUUUUAUGUGUUCAAGUCAUUUCUCUGUAGAUUUAACUGUGUUUUCUUAAUUCAUGGGAUCAUCAUUAUAAUGGAGAUUCUGUCAUUUGCUGAAUGGAUAGAGACGUUUGUUAUUUGAAAAGUUCAAUUUUUGUGGAAUAAUUCAGUUUCUUUAAAUUCACUUGCCAAUAUGUUCUGAUGUCUUGUGAGCUCCGAAACGAACAUUGAUUUUUUGUCAAUUUCGAUUAACCAAUUUCAUUGUUCCCGAUAAAGAAAGAUCCUCUGCUAUGGAUUUCUUCAUAUCUCCAUGCAUAUAGAUGGUUUAUAUGUUGGGUUAAGUUAAACUCUUAGUUUGCAACUCUUUUCUGUGGCACCUGUUGUUAAUUUGGCUUGUUUUCAACUACAGCUGGGAGAAUGAGAAUCUUGACUCCUUUUUCUUUUUUAAAAUUACUUGUUUUGCAUGCAACAUUAAUCUUGUUCAUGCAGCUUAGAGAAGACCUGGAUUGUUUCUGAUUGGACUAGAGUUUGUUUUUUCAUUACAUAGAAAUGCAUCACAUUAACUUUCAGUUUGACGUUGGAAAAUCAAGCUCAGAUUUUUAAUUGACACUUUUUAAAUAAUUCUGAUAUUCCUAGAUGUGCUUUUCACGUUCUUUGUUUCAACUCCAUAACAGAGUAUUACUUUAACCAAAUUUCUGCAUAUUUCUUAUGUUUAAUGAGAUAUCAAAUGGAUGUCUUAAAUCACUCGUCUUCCUCCUUUCUCCCCUCAAAAGGACAAGAAAAAAGUUUCUGGUUUAGACUUUAUAAUGACUUCUGCACUUCUAAUUGUGUAGGUUGGUUUAAUAGGUUCUAAGCCCAAAAUUUACCAAGUAAAUAAAUAAAUUUUGCUAUUGGUUUACAUAUCUCUGAAUGAUUUCAGUUUUAUAUUGUGCAAAAAGAACUUUAAAAUAAAUGAGAAAUCAUAAUCAAUGACAAGCAUUGUUUGAUGCUGUUUGACUACUUAGAUAGAGAUUGAAAGUAUUGUGCCAUGUUUAACUACUUGUUUUUGUUGAAAUUAUGCAUAUUGAUUUCUCUUGUAUUUAUUUUUUAAUAUUGUUCAUGGUCUCAAACUUUUUGGUGUUUCAGGUUACUGUGGUUGUUUCGCUUCAGCUUUGGACAGCCACAUUACUUCAUGAUGCUGGCUGGCUUAAGAUAUUGGCAAUAGCCUACUUCUUUGGCUCUUUUCUCAACCACAAUCUCUUCUUAGCCAUACAUGAGCUCAGUCACAAUCUUGCUUUCUCAACGCCUGUUUACAACCGUUGGCUUGGGAUUUUUGCUAACCUACCAAUUGGUAUACCCAUGUCUGUAACCUUCCAGAAGUAUCAUCUUGAACACCAUCGCUUCCAAGGAGUAGAUGGUAUUGAUAUGGAUAUCCCAAGCAAUGUUGAAGGCCAUCUUGUGACGAAUGUUGUCACAAAAUCUGUAUGGGUUAUCUUCCAACUCUUCUUCUAUGCUCUGAGGCCUCUGUUUCUCAAACCUAAGCCCCCUGGUUAUUGGGAAUUCAUCAACCUUUUUAUUCAGAUAGCUCUGGAUGUGGCCAUGGUUUAUUUUUGGGGCAGGAGGUCUUUUGCUUAUUUGAUCCUUUCCACAUUUGUUGGAGGUGGGAUGCACCCCAUGGCUGGUCAUUUCAUCUCAGAACAUUAUGUCUUCAAGCCAGAGCAAGAAACGUAUUCCUAUUAUGGCCCCCUGAAUUUUCUAACUUGGCAUGUGGGGUACCAUAAUGAGCAUCAUGAUUUCCCAAGGAUCCCUGGUAGCAAGCUUCACAAGGUGAAGGAAAUUGCACCAGAAUAUUAUGAAGGUUUAGACUCGUACAAAUCUUGGAGCCAAGUCAUAUAUAUGUAUAUUAUGGACCGGACAGUUGGGCCCUACAGCCGAAUGAAGAGAAAGGUGUCAACUACUACAAAGAAAUCUGAGUAGUUGCUCCCCAUCUUUGUCAGUUCUUUUUAGUUUUUCCCCUCCUCUUGUUGGCAAUGGGAUACUAAAAACAAUCUAUAGUCUGUAACAAAUUUGAAAUUUUGCUGUAGUCUGGGGCUGAAAAUUUGAGUUAAUUAUUUAUUCUUCGUUUGCAAAUAGCUUUAUAAUGUGUGUUAUGUCCCCAAAACAUAAAAGAUGCCACUAUGCUCUGUACUUGUGUAUACAUAAAAGCAUGCUUGUACUAAUUAUUGUAGAGUGAAAGGCCUUAUUUCUUGGUCAUGCUGCAAGCUUGGGGACAUAGG